rnacentral:lncRNA from 1 species
ACCAACUUUUGGUAUUCACUUGGAUUUGUGACUAUAUCUGGUUCAUCCAACUUAGCCUACAGUUGAGAUUGUCAAUCUACAGAUAUCAUACAAACAAGUCCAUAAAUCACCCAUCUAAUACCGUAAAAAGCCACCUAAAUCUGAAUUAUAUGGUUUGAAUGGUGAAAAAGCAUGUUAGUCCCAUGUUUAUCCUAGAAAUAAUUUGUAACACCAUCAUGCAUUAUUAACGACACAAUACACAUUUUGUUCUUAGAUGUGGUCACAAAAAUGAUGACUAAUAGUGUGCAAUAUUGAUGGUAGUUUUGCGUAUAUGUAAAAAUCCAAUAACCGUAUAAGCCCCGGAUCGAGGAUAUUUCAUCUAUCGGUGGUCACUUAAUGAUGUGUGGAACCUAAGCAAGUCAUCACGUUUACCCCUUAGAAG